GCAAGAAGGACAAACGAGUGAUAUGAGACUGACAGCCAUUGGCUUCCAGGGCCAUUUGUAUGGGGACCGGAGGAGACUGGAUCCAGGUGAAGCUCUGCUAACCCCUUAUCUACCUACUUCUCAAACCUACAGGAUGCUCUGAUUUAGACUUGGUGUGUGUCUGGGUGUGGUGGACCAUUGACCAUGAGAUAGAGAUGCAAAGUUGGGAAGUAAACACUUGAGUUUCAUUUAAUAAAUACUAGCAGGAAGUGUUGACAUGCAGCUAAACUUGUGUUUGAUAAAUCUGAAUAAUUUUUAUGUGCCCAUUUAUGAAUCAUGUUGACCCAUGUUAAGGGGAAACUAAGGGGCAAGGCAUAUCCUAGCCUUCUGGUGACCUACAUUUGGAGCUGGCUUUAGCUAAGCAGCGGCUGGCUGGUCCCUAGAGGGAGUUUUCAAUCCAUUCUCACUCUUCUGGGGUUACUUUGUAACAUUUGGAGAUUUAUUUACCCCUUUUAUUAGAAAUAUUUUAAUCAAGGUUACAAGGCACAGUUUCUAGAACAUAUUCCUGGCCCUGGCAUUCCAUGGUUGAUUCUUUAUAGACGGUGUAUUUUCUUUGUCCUGGGAAUAUUUAGGGUUUUGUUUGUACAGUGACUUACCUCAGAAAAUGAAUUUGAACCCAUGAUACUGGAUACAACUGGGAAAGUUGUGAACUUGAAACUGGGAAGGUUCCCAGAGUACUGCUUCGGGACCCUGCCUUUUAUUGUCUGCAGACCUUCCAAAUCCAUUGUGGUGUGGCAUGAGACCCUCCAAAUCCAGAUGUUAGACAUGGUGGUGUGGUGCGGCCCUGCUACGUCAUGAGUUCACUCUUUUCUCUCAAGUGUUUUCCUCCACAGUCUGAACAUUUAACCUGAUGUUUUUAUUUCUCUUGUUUUGAGGGACUUUUGCUUAUUCUCUAAAUUGAAUGAUUAUUUAUUUUGAGACAGGUCCUCCUGGCUUGGAACUCAUUCUGUAGACCAGGCUGACCUUGCCCCACAGAGAGUCCUCUGCCUCUGCCACCAACGUACUGGAGUUAAAAGUGCACCACCAUGACUGGCAGCCCCUUUGAACUUUGUUCUUUCAGAUUUACCUCAUCUAAUCCACGAAAGCCAAAGUAAACAAUGGGUUUACAUAAAAUAAACAAACAAACAAAACAACAGCAAAAGAAACUCCAAAGCUAAAACUCAGCCCAUGGACUUGGAAGAAUAUGUUUGCAAAUCCUAAGAAUAAUUGCCAAAAUAUAAGAAGAAUGCAAACUAGAGCUGGCUGUAUGGGUUAGUGGGUAAAGGUAUUUGCCACUGACCUAACAGCCCAAGUUUCCAACACCUAAGACCCAGAUGGUAGAAGGGACAACACACACACACACAAAACAAAACAACCCCCUGACUCCUGCACAUUGUCUUUCGACCUCCACAUGUACACUAGACAAGUACAAGCCUGCACACACACCAAAUAAGCAAUAAAGUGUAGAAAAUUAAAGAAUGCAAGCUAUUCAAUGUCAAGAAAAGAAAAAUGACUAGAUACCCAAAAUGACAUUUCUCAAAGGAAGGGAAAACCAAUAGCCAAAAGAUAUGUGAAAAAUGUUUGAUAUCCAAAUCAUCAGAGAAAUUAAUUACAAUUUCAAUGACUUAUUGUCUCAUACCGACUAUACUGGCUAUUGUCAAGAAGUAUAAAUGGGGAUCAGAGAAUAAACCAGCAGUCAAGAGCACCCGCGGCUCAGUCAUGGGAUUCUAGUUUGGACGCCAGCACCCAC
rnacentral:lncRNA from 1 species